GGAUGCUUUGGCACCGGCUUUUGCGAGGAUUAUUAGGCGAGAAAAGAAUUGGUUUGUGAUUAUAUAUUUCAUGCGAGUUUAUGUGGUUGUGACUGCUGUUUGUGGUUCUUACAUGACCUAUGAUAAGAGGUAAAUUAUUUUAGAAGUAGGAUGAUGAUGAUUUAUGGAAGUGAAGAUUGAUGAUGAGGAAGGAGAUGAUGAUGUGCGGAGGUUAGGUUUAUGUUUAAUUGCUGGUGAUGGUUUGUCUGUCUCUCGACCUUUGCCAUGACAGGUGCGCUUGCUUGGCAGGUCACAAAGAACUAAUAAAAUUUUAUUUUUGGGUUUCAAGGGGGGGAGAUGGUACGGGGUUAUUUAUUCCUUUUGGUUUUUGCCCGGCUCUCCCCCCCAGCGUGCGUGUGCGUGUGUGGCUGGUCUUUUUUCUCUGUCUCUCUCUCUCUCUCUCUCUGUCUCUCUGUUUGUGCUAUCUUUGUCCGUCUCUUAUACCACCAUAUCUACCUAUCAAUUCUGGACGGCCGUUCAAUCAAACAUCAUAUGCAACCAAGGCAAACGAGGCAACAACUAUGCAGGAAUCAAUUUUGAUCUUCAUCAAUUCAACCACGAAAGGUAUAUACUUG
rnacentral:lncRNA from 1 species